UACGUAGGGUGCAAGCGUUGUCCGGAAUUAUUGGGCGUAAAGAGCUCGUAGGCGGUCUGUCGCGUCUGCUGUGAAAACCUGGGGCUUAACCCCGGGCCUGCAGUGGGUACGGGCAGACUAGAGUGCGGUAGGGGAGACUGGAAUUCCUGGUGUAGCGGUGAAAUGCGGCAGAUAUCAGGAGGAACACCGGUGGCGAAGGCGGGUCUCUGGGCCGUAACUGACGCUGAGGAGCGAAAGCAUGGGGAGCGAACAGG
rnacentral:rRNA from 1 species